AAUUAGUAUUAAUAAAAAGUACUAAUUUGUAUCAUGUUUGAGUUUUGAGAACUUAUAUGAAACUGGCAAUAGCAUGAUGAUAUGGUGAUCAAUUUAAAAAGGAAUUUGGGUAAGAUGUGAUAACUUUUUGAUGAUUAAUUGUACACGAAAGUACAAUUUUGAGUUGGUUCUUUGAUAAUCUAGUUCACGGAUGAUUUCAAUUGCACUCUUGCUAUUAAGCAUUUUUUGUUGUGGAAUUAAAAAAUGUGCUUAACUUGAAUGAUCUGUGUGAAUUUGAUUAUCCAUCAUAUAUUAGAAUGGAUUACAUGCUGUGUUUGGAGUCUUCAGAUUUUCCAUUGUAGAUGAGCUGACUUCUUGUAUUUGGGGUGGCAUUUAAAGGAAUCAGUUUUCUAUACUAAAUAAUGUUCAGCCUGUUCUUUUUUCUGGAAGCUUGCUCAAACUGACAUUAGUUUGGAUUCUAAGAUAUAUUAUUAAUUGGUAUUAAUCUAGCAACUUGUGUGGUAAUAGUAUAAUUUAGUCUUCAGGAGGUGAACUAAGUCAACCUUAUGAGGAUAAAAUCUUCUUGCGAUAGGAAUGAAAUAAUCAGCUUUUUGAACUACAUAAGAUGAAUAAUUAGCUGGACAUAUCCUUGUCAGAUUAUCCCUAGUUCUGAUAUAGUAGGAAAUGCAUACGGGGUCUGAAGAUGCUUUGGGCUUUUGGUAAUCAGUGGAAGUAAAUUUCAUUGAGGUUUCUUAGCAGCAGGUAAACAAUUAAAA
rnacentral:misc_RNA from 1 species